AUGCCCAUCCCUCCAAGCCGUGACAUCUUCUCUUUGGUUUCUUUUCUUGCUGCUUCUCCUGUCCUGGAAUUUUUCAUUUUGCAGAUAGAGGAGGGUGCUAGCAGACCUGAUCACGUUUCUGGAGACGACAACGAGUAUUCUAGACGAAAGCUAGAGUACCGGCAUGACCGCCUCAGGCAGGUGCUGAUCACAGGAUUCUAUCCAUCCAAUAGCUUGGUCGAGCUCAUGAUCCACAUCCUCGAGAGCGCGGCUUCCCUCGAAUGCCUAACGGUAGACACAAUCUACUUCUCCAAUAGAAGGUUGGGCACCAUUGGCAGAUGCCCCGCCUCAACAAAGGAUGGUCAGUGUUGGGCAAUGAGCAAGAAAAAUGUCGUGGGAGCUCAUAGAGCCGUGGAGGUUGCGAGUAGGUGCAUCGCGUGGAGAGUUCCAAAGCAUGUGCAGUUCAAGGUAGUAGAGCCCUGUAGUCGCUGCCAUAGCAUCGACCAGUAG
rnacentral:rRNA from 1 species